ACGGAUGAUCUCCAGCUUGCUGGGGGGAUUAGUGGCGAACGGGUGAGUAACACGUGAGUAACCUGCCCUUGACUCUGGGAUAAGCCUGGGAAACUGGGUCUAAUACCGGAUAUGACCAUCUGGCGCAUGUCAUGGUGGUGGAAAGCUUUUGUGGUUUUGGAUGGACUCGCGGCCUAUCAGCUUGUUGGUGGGGUAAUGGCCUACCAAGGCGACGACGGGUAGCCGGCCUGAGAGGGUGACCGGCCACACUGGGACUGAGACACGGCCCAGACUCCUACGGGAGGCAGCAGUGGGGAAUAUUGCACAAUGGGCGCAAGCCUGAUGCAGCGACGCCGCGUGAGGGAUGACGGCCUUCGGGUUGUAAACCUCUUUCAGUAGGGAAGAAGCCUUUCGGGGUGACGGUACUUGCAGAAGAAGCGCCGGCUAACUACGUGCCAGCAGCCGCGGUAAUACGUAGGGCGCAAGCGUUAUCCGGAAUUAUUGGGCGUAAAGAGCUCGUAGGCGGUUUGUCGCGUCUGCUGUGAAAGACCGGGGCUCAACUCCGGUUCUGCAGUGGGUACGGGCAGACUAGAGUGCAGUAGGGGAGACUGGAAUUCCCUGGUGUAGCGGUGAAAUGCGCAGAUAUCAGAGGAACACCGAUGGCGAAGGCAGGUUUUCUGGGCUGUAACUGACGCUGAAGGAGCGAAAGCAUGGGGAGCGAAACAGGAUUAGAUACCCUGGUAGUCCAUGCCGUAAACGUUGGGCACUAGGUGUGGGGGGACAUUCCACGUUUCCGCGCCGUAGCUAACGCAUUAAGUGCC
rnacentral:rRNA from 1 species